rnacentral:rRNA from 1 species
AUUGAACGCUGGCGGCAGGCCUAACACAUGCAAGUCGAGCGGGGUUUUCGGACCUAGCGGCGGACGGGUGAGUAAUGCGUAGGAAGCUGCCCGAUAGAGGGGGAUACCAGUUGGAAACGACUGUUAAUACCGCAUAAUGUCUACGGACCAAAGUGUGGGACCUUCGGGCCACAUGCUAUCGGAUGCGCCUACGUGGGAUUAGCUAGUUGGUGAGGUAAUGGCUCACCAAGGCGACGAUCUCUAGCUGGUUUGAGAGGAUGAUCAGCCACACUGGAACUGAGACACGGUCCAGACUCCUACGGGAGGCAGCAGUGGGGAAUAUUGGACAAGGGGCGAAAGCCUGUUCCAGCCAUGCCGCGUGUGUGAAGAAGGCCUUCGGGUUGUAAAGCACUUUCAGCGAGGAGGAAGGGUGGUGUGUUAAUAGCACAUCAUUUUGACGUUACUCGCAGAAGAAGCACCGGCUAACUCUGUGCCAGCAGCCGCCGUAAUAC